GACGAACCGUGCGAACGUUGUUCGGAAUCAUUGGGCGUAAAGGGUGCGUAGGCGGCGCGGUAAGUCGGGUGUGAAAUCUCAGAGCUCAACUCUGAAAUGGCACUUGAUACUGCUCUGCUAGAGGACUGGAGAGGAGAUUGGAAUUCACGGUGUAGCAGUGAAAUGCGUAGAUAUCGUGAGGAAGACCGGUGGCGAAGGCGGAUCUCUGGACAGUUCCUGACGCUGAGGCGCGAAGGCCAGGGGAGCAAACGGG
rnacentral:rRNA from 1 species